rnacentral:rRNA from 1 species
UACGAAGGGGGCUAGCGUUGCUCGGAAUUACUGGGCGUAAAGCGCACGUAGGCGGCUUUCUAAGUCGGGGGUGAAAUCCUGGAGCUCAACUCCAGAACUGCCUUCGAUACUGGAGAGCUUGAGUCCGGGAGAGGUGAGUGGAACUGCGAGUGUAGAGGUGAAAUUCGUAGAUAUUCGCAAGAACACCAGUGGCGAAGGCGGCUCACUGGCCCGGUACUGACGCUGAGGUGCGAAAGCGUGGGAGCAGACAGG